GAUCAGAUAUGAGAGAAAGCCAUGACUUACACACACAUUGAAAUCUUAGUUUUAAAUGUGUAUAAGUCAUGGUUUUCUCUCAUAUCUAAUC
rfam:Glycine soja cultivar W05 scaffold1324_68, whole genome shotgun sequence.